GACGAACGCUGGCGGCGUGCCUAAUACAUGCAAGUAGAACGCUGAAGAGGAGCUUGCUUCUUGGAUGAGUUGCGAACGGGUGAGUAACGCGUAGGUAACCUGCCUGGUAGCGGGGGAUAACUAUUGGAAACGAUAGCUAAUACCGCAUAAUAGUAGAUGUUGCAUGACAUUUGCUUAAAAGGUGCAAUUGCAUCACUACCAGAUGGACCUGCGUUGUAUUAGCUAGUUGGUGGGGUAACGGCUCACCAAGGCGACGAUACAUAGCCGACCUGAGAGGGUGAUCGGCCACACUGGGACUGAGACACGGCCCAGACUCCUACGGGAGGCAGCAGUAGGGAAUCUUCGGCAAUGGACGGAAGUCUGACCGAGCAACGCCGCGUGAGUGAAGAAGGUUUUCGGAUCGUAAAGCUCUGUUGUAAGAGAAGAACGAGUGUGAGAGUGGAAAGUUCACACUGUGACGGUAUCUUACCAGAAAGGGCGGCUACUAC
rnacentral:rRNA from 1 species